rnacentral:rRNA from 1 species
UACGUAGGGUGCGAGCGUUGUCCGGAAUUAUUGGGCGUAAAGAGCUCGUAGGCGGUGUGUCACGUCGGCCGUGAAAACCUGCAGCUUAACUGUGGGCGUGCGGUCGAUACGGGCAUCACUGGAGUUCGGCAGGGGAGACUGGAAUUCCUGGUGUAGCGGUGAAAUGCGCAGAUAUCAGGAGGAACACCGGUGGCGAAGGCGGCAUCCUGGACCGGCAUUGACGCUGAGGAGCGAAAGCCAGGGGAGCGAACGGG